GGGUUGUUAGCUCAGUUGGGAGAGCAUCGCCCUUACAAGGCGAGGGUCACUGGUUCAAGUCCAGUACAAUCCACCA
rnacentral:tRNA from 1 species